rnacentral:tRNA from 1 species
GACCGGCAUGCUGGAGUCGGUGCGGGCGGCGCGUGACGAACAUGCCGAUGCACCACUGCAUUACGAGCGGUUCAGUCCGCCGCCGGUCA